GGGGACUCAGGGUCGGCGAUCUAUUUCUCUUGCCCACGAUCGGGCGUUGGCCAAGCACCAUAACGAAAAGAAGGAGGGGCCACCGCCCACGUGGGAGUCGACUUGGGCGGCAACCCACAGACUACAACCUCCGGAAGUUGCGUCCCGUCUGGAAGCUGCGCAGGAGAGACAUUCACAGGAUCCUGCACCGACACCUCCAACCCAGUUGUUCCCGGAAGCGUUUGGAUCGCGAUCGGGACAUCAGCGCGGACUAGGGAGGAUUCUCAGGGGUUUCGGAUCCCAUGAUUUCCCUGUUGAGUUGCCGCAACCACAUUAUGGACCUCCGGAAGGAUCCUCCUCCGGCCCGUCUGGAUCCUAUUCUGGCCCCUCUGGAUCCCAACCUUCCGGCUACCAUGUUGACUUGAACCAGCCUGGUGAUGAGUAUUUCGACCCCCGCCAGUUAUGGGGUGGGACAUCGGCGCAUUAUGGACCUCCAUCAGGGGAAUUUGGUAGCUUGUCGGAUAUGAGUGGAUUUUUU